rnacentral:rRNA from 1 species
AAAACAACCCAUUCGCCCGAGAACUACCAGCACAAGCUAAAAACUUAAAAGACUUGACGGUGCUCUACCCUGCCUAGAGGAGCCUGUCCUAUAAUCGAUACUCCACGAUCCACCCGACCGUCACUAGUAACUUCAGCCUAUAUACCGCCGUCGAAAGUGUAUCCCUCAAAGGACCUAUAAUUUUCUCAAUAGUCUCCCGCUAAAACGUCAGGCCAAGGCAUAGCUAAUGUGACGGCAGAGAUGGGCUACAUUUUCUGACCACAGAACACACGAAAAAUGGUAUGAAACCUACCAUUCAAAGGAGGAUUUAGCAGUAAGGCGAAAA